rnacentral:rRNA from 1 species
AGAGUUUGAUCCUGGCUCAGAACGAACGCUGGCGGCGCGUCUUAAGCAUGCAAGUCGAACGGCAAGAUUGGUGCUUGCACCGAUCCUAGAGUGGCGGACUGGUGAGUAACGCGUGGGUGACGUACCCUAUGGAUGGGGAUAGCCGGUAGAAAUACCGGAUAAUACCGAAUAAGCUUGGCUUUUUAAAGUAAGUUAAGGAAAGGAGCUUCGGCUCCGCCAAAGGAACGGCCCGCGUACUAUUAGCUAGUUGGUGAGGUAACGGCCCACCAAGGCGACGAUAGUUAUCCGGCCUAAGAGGGUGAACGGACACAUUGGGACUGAGAUACGGCCCAGACUCCUACGGGAGGCAGCAGCUAAGAAUAUUCCGCAAUGGAGGAAACUCUGACGGAGCGACGCCGCGUGGAUGAUGAAGGUCGGAAGAUUGUAAAAUCCUUUUAAGUGUGAUGAAUAAAGUUUACAGGAAAUGGUAGACAGAUGACCGUAGCACUUGAAUAAAGGGCGGCUAAUUACGUGCCAGCAGCCGCGGUAACACGUAAGCCCUUAGCGUUGUUCGGAAUUAUUGGGCGUAAAGGGCAUGUAGGCGGUUUUGCAAGCUUGAUGUGAAAUGCCGGGGCUUAACUCCGGCACUGCGUUGAGAACUGCAUGACUAGAGUAACUGAGGGGCAGCCGGAAUUCCAGGUGUAGGGGUGAAAUCUGUAGAUAUCUGGAAGAACACCGGUGGCGAAGGCGGCUUGCCAGCCCGAUACUGACGCUCAGUCACGAAAGCGUGGGUAGCAAAUAGGCUUAGAUACCCUAGUAGUCCGCACAGUAAACGAUGCGCACUUGGUGUGCGGCCAAGAGGCUGUGCGCCGAAGCAAACGCGAUAAGUGCGCCGCCUGGGGAGUAUGCCCGCAAGGGUGAAACUCAAAGGAAUUGACGGGGGCCCGCACAAGCGGUGGAGCAUGUGGUUUAAUUCGAUGGUACGCGAGGAACCUUACCUGGGUUUGACAUACACACCGAUCAUCUGGAGACAGGUGAGCGCAGCAAUGCGGGUGUGAACAGGUGCUGCAUGGCUGUCGUCAGCUCGUGCCGUGAGGUGUUGGGUUAAGUCCCGCAACGAGCGCAACCCCUGUCCUUAGUAGCCAGCAGCGAGAUGGGAACUCUAAGGAGACUGCCGGGGACAACCCGGAGGAAGGUGGGGAUGACGUCAAAUCAGCACGGCCCUUACGUCUGGGGCGACACACGUGCUACAAUGGCCGGUACAGAGGGCAGCGAGCCUGUGAGGGUAAGCGAAUCUCGAAAGCCGGUCUCAGUUCGGAUCGGAGUCUGCAACUCGACUCCGUGAAGUUGGAUUCGCUAGUAAUCGCGCAUCAGCCAUGGCGCGGUGAGUACGUUCCCGGGCCUUGCACACACGCCCGUCA